rnacentral:piRNA from 1 species
UGGUCCUUUUGUCAAGCCUGAGCUGCUGUGU